rnacentral:rRNA from 1 species
UGAGGAAUAUUGGUCAAUGGGUGCAAACCUGAACCAGCCAUGCCGCGUGCAGGAUGAAGGCUCUACGAGUCGUAAACUGCUUUUAUACGGGAAUAACCCCAGGUACGUGUACUUGGUUGAAGGUACUGUAUGAAUAAGCAUCGGCUAACUCCGUGCCAGCAGCCGCGGUAAUACGGAGGAUGCAAGCGUUAUCCGGAUUUAUUAGGUUUAAAGGGUGUGUAGGCGGAAUAAUAAGUCAGCGGUGAAAUACCACAGCUUAACUGUGGAACUGCCAUUGAUACUGUUGUUCUUGAAUGUGGUUGAGGUAGGCGGAAUGUGUAAUGUAGCGGUGAAAUGCUUAGAUAUUACACAGAACACCGAUUGCGAAGGCAGCUUACUAAACUAUGAUUGACGCUGAGGCACGAAAGCGUGGGGAGCAAACAGG